ACGGUCCUAAGGUAGCGAAAUUCCUUGUCGGGUAAGUUCCGACCUGCACGAAUGGCGUAACGACUUCCCCACUGUCUCGACCAGGAGCUCGGCGAAAUUGCAGUACGAGUAAAGAUGCUCGUUAAGCGCAGAAGGACGAAAAGACCCCGGGACCUUUACUAUACCUUGGUAUUGGCAUUAGGCGCGGAUUGUGUAGCAUAGGCGGGAGGCCGAGAGGCGCGGUCGCCAGAUCGCGCGGAGCCGUAAGGUGAAAUACCGCUCUGUUCUCGUUUGAUGUCUAACCUCGAACAGUCAUCCUGUUCAGGGACAGUGCCUGGCGGGUAGUUCAACUGGGGCGGUUGCCUCCCAAAGAGUAACGGAGGCGCUCAAAGGUCCGCUCGGCCCGGUUGGCAAUCGGGUGUCGAGUGUAAUCGCACAAGCGGGCUUGACUGCGAGAUCGACGGAUCGAGCAGGGACGAAAGUCGGAGAUAGUGAUCCGGUGCCGGCGCACGGGCGCGGCAUCGCUCAACGGAUAAAAGGUACCCCGGGGAUAACAGGCUGAUCAUUCCCAAGAGUCCAUAUCGACGGGAUGGUUUGGCACCUCGAUGUCGGCUCGUCGCAUCCUGGGGCUGGAGCAGGUCCCAAGGGUUCGGCUGUUCGCCGAUCAAAGCGGCACGCGAGCUGGGUUCAGAACGUCGUGAGACAGUUUGGUCUCUAUCCUCUGCGCUCGUUGGAAUCUUGAGGAGGCCUGCCCAUAGUACGAGAGGACCUGGGUGGACGAACCUCUGGUAUGCCGGUCGUCACGCCAGUGGCGCGGCCGGUUGGCUACGUUCGGAAGGGAUAACCGCUGAAAGCAUCUAAGCGGGAAGCCUUCUCCAAGAUAAGGAUUCCAUGCGGCCCCGAGCCGCUGAAGACCCCAUGCAGAACACGUGGUCGAUAGGCCGGACGUGGAAGCCCCGCGAGGGGUGGAGCCGACCGGUACUAACGGACGAAAGGCAACACUAA
rnacentral:rRNA from 1 species